UGGGGAAUAUUGGACAAUGGGGGCAACCCUGAUCCAGCCAUGCCGCGUGAAGGAUGAAGUAUUUCGGUAUGUAAACUUCGAAAGAAUAGGAAGAAUAAAUGACGGUACUAUUUAUAAGCUCCGGCUAACUACGUGCCAGCAGCCGCGGUAAUACGUAGGGUGCAAGCGUUAAUCGGAAUUACUGGGCGUAAAGCGUGCGCAGGCGGUUUGGUAAGUCAGUUGUGAAAUCUCCGAGCUUAACUCGGAACGGUCAACUGAUACUGUCAAACUAGAGUACAGAAGGGGCAAUCGGAAUUCUUGGUGUAGCGGUGAAAUGCGUAGAUAUCAAGAGGAACACCUGAGGCGAAGGCGGGUUGCUGGGCUGAUACUGACGCUGAAGCGCGAAAGCUAGGGUAGCAAACGGGAUUAGAUACCCAUGUAGUCCCUGAGCGGGCUGGCAAGGCGCAU
rnacentral:rRNA from 1 species